rnacentral:rRNA from 1 species
GCAAGUCGAACGCGAAACUCCCUUCGGGGAAUGUAGAGUGGCGGACGGGUGAGUAACACGUAGGCAAUCUGCCCUCCAGCGGGGGACAACUGUCCGAAAGGACAGCUAAUACCGCAUAAGACCACAGUGCCUGCGGGCACAGUGGUAAAAGGUGGCCUCUUCUUGAAAGCUACCACUGGAGGAUGAGCCUGCGCACCAUCAGCUUGUUGGUGGGGUAACGGCCUACCAAGGCUUAGACGGUUAGCUGGUCUGAGAGGAUGACC